rnacentral:rRNA from 1 species
UACGUAGGGGGCGAGCGUUGUCCGGAUUUACUGGGCGUAAAGCGCGUGUAGGCGGGAGAUUAAGUUGGGUGUGAAAUCCCGGGGCUCAACCCCGGAACUGCCCUUGAAACUGGAGAGCUAGAAUCUUGGAGAGGCGAGUGGAAUUCCGAGUGUAGAGGUGAAAUUCGUAGAUAUUCGGAAGAACACCAGUGGCGAAGGCGACUCGCUGGACAAGUAUUGACGCUGAGGUGCGAAAGCGUGGGGAGCAAACAGG